CAGAGGGUGCGAGCGUUAAUCGGAAUUACUGGGCGUAAAGCGUGCGUAGACGGCUAUUUAAGUCGGGUGUGAAAGCCCCGGGCUCAACCUGGGAAUUGCAUUCGAGACUGAAUAGCUAGGGUACGGUAGAGGGAAGUGGAAUUUCCGGUGUAGCGGUGAAAUGCGUAGAUAUCGGAAGGAACAUCAGUGGCGAAAGCGACUUCCUGGACCAGUACCGACGUUCAGGCACGAAAGCGUGGGGAGCAAACAGGAUUAGAUACCCUGGUAGUCCACGCCCUAAACGAUGUCAACUGGUUGUUGGGUCUUUACUGACUCAGUAACGAAGCUAACGCGUGAAGUUGACCGCCUGGGGAGUACGGCCGCAAGGUUG
rnacentral:rRNA from 1 species